GACGAACGCUGGCGGCGUGCCUAAUACAUGCAAGUAGAACGCUGAAGGAGGAGCUUGCUUCUCUGGAUGAGUUGCGAACGGGUGAGUAACGCGUAGGUAACCUGCCUGGUAGCGGGGGAUAACUAUUGGAAACGAUAGCUAAUACCGCAUAAGAGUAGAUGUUGCAUGACAUUUGCUUAAAAGGUGCAAUUGCAUCACUACCAGAUGGACCUGCGUUGUAUUAGCUAGUUGGUGGGGUAACGGCUCACCAAGGCGACGAUACAUAGCCGACCUGAGAGGGUGAUCGGCCACACUGGGACUGAGACACGGCCCAGACUCCUACGGGAGGCAGCAGUAGGAAAUCUUCGGCAAUGGACGGAAGUCUGACCGAGCAACGCCGCGUGAGUGAAGAAGGUUUUCGGAUCGUAAAGCUCUGUUGUAAGAGAAGAACGAGUGUGAGAGUGGAAAGUUCACACUGUGACGGUAUCUUACCAGAAAGGGACGGCUAGCUACGUG
rnacentral:rRNA from 1 species